GACGAACGCUGGCGGCGUGCUUAACACAUGCAAGUCGAGCGAUGAAGUUCCUUCGGGAAUGGAUUAGCGGCGGACGGGUGAGUAACACGUGGGUAACCUGCCUCAUAGAGGGGAAUAGCCUUUCGAAAGGAAGAUUAAUACCGCAUAAGAUUGUAGUUUCGCAUGAAACAGCAAUUAAAGGAGUGAUCCGCUAUGAGAUGGACCUGCGCCGCAUUAGCUAGUUGGUGAGGUAACGGCUCACCAAGGCGACGAUGCGUAGCCGACCUGAGAGGGUGAUCGGCCACACUGGGACUGAGACACGGCCCAGACUCCUACGGGAGGCAGCAGUGGGGAAUAUUGCACAAUGGGGGAAACCCUAAUGCAGCAACGCCGCGUGAGUGAUGACGGUCUUCGGAUUGUAAAGCUCUGUCUUCAGGGACGAUAAUGACGGUACCUGAGGAGGAAGCCACGGCUAACUACGUGCCAGCCGCCGCAGUAA
rnacentral:rRNA from 1 species